AUCUAGUGAUUCCACAUCGGAAUCACCAUUGUGGGUGGUCUUAUAUACACACACGCCUCUUCCCUUAAUGUUGUUGUGUGUGUACUGGCUAGGUAGAGGUAGGAGUAAAAGUUGACGGUAAGUGUAAAAUUAUGGUGUGACUGAUAAAAUUCUUCAGUGUUGAUAAAAUCCUUCAGUGUUUGAUUGAUAAAACGUAUAGGUUUGGUGAUAAAACUUUAAUAUUUCAUUCUAUAUGGAAAGAAGAAUAAAGUUGACAAUUGAUAUCUCUAUCAUUAAGGAAAGCCGAAUCAGUUUAGGUUUGAAAUUACCUAUUAGUCCUAUUUUAAGUAAACCGUGUAGUAUAGAUGUUAGAAUUAGGACUGAUCUCCACCAUCCGAUCAUACAAAUCUAAGAUGGUUCUGAUUGGAUCCUAUUAUAUAUGCUAAAAAGUGUUUUUUAUUUUAGCCCUAUAUAUUAAAAACUCAAAAUUUGGAAGGGGGCUCCGGCACUGCUGCUAACCCGAUUUCAGAAGAAAGAUACGGUUACGAAGCAGGCUACAAUAGAGCAAGGCCAAACCUCACCUCCUCUGCUUCAUAUCAUGGCGACAACUUGCCAUUGGCUAUAUACUAUAAUUGGAUGACCACAGCCUCUUCUCAAUAGCAUAUGAAACUGCUUCUUGAAAAUAUGAGAAGAUAUGGAGAUGGAGAUGGAGGAGCAGAAGAGAUGGGAGCACCAACUAUAUGAGAAGAGAAUUGAAGCUCAGAUGAUCAGAUGGAGGGCGUGAGACGAAGAUGCAUGAGCUCUUAGCAGGAGGCCCUCGAUACAUUUUAUUGGCUUGUUUUGGGAUAUCCACCACCAUCUUCAUGAUUAUCAUUGAUUAAUUUGUUGUUCAAUUGAUUAUGUAUUCGUAUGAGAUUAGCUCAAUAAUACUUUAAUGAUGAAUUCCUUAAAUAAAAGAUUGUUGUUGGAUUUUGAGGAAUAUUGAAUUGUUUGAUUUUGAAGAAUAUUAAAUUGUUGUUGGAUUUUAA